rnacentral:rRNA from 1 species
UACGAAGGGGGCUAGCGUUGCUCGGAAUCACUGGGCGUAAAGCGUACGUAGGCGGCUUUUUAAGUCAGGGGUGAAAUCCUGGAGCUCAACUCCAGAACUGCCUUUGAUACUGAGAGCUUGAGUCCGGGAGAGGUGAGUGGAACUGCGAGUGUAGAGGUGAAAUCGUAGAUAUUCGCAAGAACACCAGUGGCGAAGGCGGCUCACUGGCCCGGUACUGACGCUGAGGUGCGAAAGCGUGGGGAGCAAACAGG